rnacentral:rRNA from 1 species
UUAAAGUUUUAUUUUGGCUUAAAAAUUUAUUAUUAAUUUGAUUUAUAUGUAAAUUUUUGUAUGAAUUUAUAUUUAUUUUAAAAAUAUUUAUAAUUUAUUUAUUCGCAGUAAUUAGUAUUAUUAAUUAAAGAAAUUUAGAAAUAGCAAUAUUAAAGAGUAUUGACCAAAUUGGUGCCAGCAGUCGCGGUUACACUAAUAAUACAAAUAAAUUUUUUUAGUAUUAGUUAAAUUUAUAAAUUAAAAGAAAAUUGAAUUUAUUAAGUGAAAUUUUAUAUUCAAAAUAUUUUUAUAAAAAAUAAUUGAAGCUAAAAAAUUUUUUAAAAAAACUAGGAUUAGAUACCCUAUUAUUUAAAAUGUAAAUAUAAAUAUUAAAGUAGUAAUAGUU